GACGAACGCUGGCGGCGUGCUUAACACAUGCAAGUCGAACGGACCGAGUUGAUAGCUUGCUAUUGAUGAGGUUAGUGGCAAACGGGUGAGUAACGCGUAGGCAACCUGCCCUUNAGAUGGGGACAACACCUCGAAAGGGGUGCUAAUACCGAAUGACGUUUCCUGGUCGCAUGACCUGGAAACCAAAGGCCGGGCAACCGGUCACUGAAGGAUGGGCCUGCGUCUGAUUAGCUAGUUGGUGGGGUAACGGCCACCAAGGCGACGAUCAGUAGCCGGUCUGAGAGGAUGAACGGCCACAUUGGGACUGAGACACGGCCCAAACUCCUACGGGAGGCAGCAGUGGGGAAUCUUCCGCAAUGGGCGCAAGCCUGACGGAGCAACGCCGCGUGAGUGAAGAAGGUUUUCGGAUCGUAAAGCUCUGUUGAGAGGGACGAGAGAUAUAAUCAGGAAAUGGGUUAUAGAGGACGGUACCUUUCGAGG
rnacentral:rRNA from 1 species